AUUGAACGCUGGCGGCAGGCCUAACACAUGCAAGUCGAACGAGUGGCGGACGGGUGUGUAAUGUCUGGGAAACUGCCCGAUGGAGGGGGAUAACUACUGGACACAGAAGCUAAUACCGCAUACCAUCGGAUGUGCCCAGAUGGGAUUAGCUAGUAGGGGGGGUAACGUCACCCCUGGGCGACGAUCCCUAGCUGGUCUGCGAGGAUGCCCAGCCACACUGGAACGGAGACACGGUCCAGACUCCUACGUGAGGCAGCAGUGGGGAAUAUUGCACAAUGGGCGCAAGCCGGAUGCAGCCAUGCCGCGUGUAUGAAGAAGGCCUUCGGGUUGUAAAGUACUUUCAGCGAGGAGGCGUUCCUCGCAGAAGAAGCACCGGCUAACUCCGUGCCAGCAGCCGCGGUAAUUC
rnacentral:rRNA from 1 species